CGCCCUGUGGCGUAUGGACUUCCAGGGCCAGGGAUCAGGUCCAAGCCAUAGCUGCGACCUAAGGUGAGGUGGUGCCGGAUCCUUAAUCCACUGUGCUGGGCCAGGGAAGCACCCAAGAUGCCACCAAUCCUGCUGCGCCGCACAGGAGACCCCAUGAGCAAGGAUUUUUAGUUCAGACUAUUAAAGAUUCAAAAACCUGCUCUAACCCUGCUUUAGCUGGGCGACCUUGGGCAAGGUAUUGAACUUUUCUAAAUGUAGUUUUAUCAUCUCUAAAACAGGUAUGAUGAUGUACAAAAAAGUAUGUAAAGUACUGAGCACAGAACUCAGCAAACUAAUCACUCAAUACAUAGGCGUCAUUAUGCGAAUGAUCCUCAAGAGCCACACCUCAGCACAGGUGUCUAGCAUCUGUCACCUGUCGACGACAACACCCCCGACUCAGCUUCCUGAACCCAGCAUUUCCCCAGACCUCCGUGUCUUCUACACUCUGGGGCCAGGGUGCUCUUCCAGAACAGAAAUCGAACUGGUAAUGGGGGAUACAUCCAAAAAUUCUCUCUUCCAAAAAAAAACUGGCAGUAAAUUGUCAAAACCAACUGUGCCAGAACUCACAAAGUUAACCAAAGGCUUGCAGUCAUCUGGGAAGCUUUUAUUCACAAUAAAUGGCUAAACCUUGGUAAGAACAGUGAGAUUUGUGGGGUUUUAACUUGCCCUAUUCCAAUUUCCCUACCACCGGCUCCAUGGUUGCCUUGAAAACUGACCAUAGGAAAAACGCAGCCUGACAGUCAUCAGACGGAUCAAAACAGAGCUGGAGCUCCUCUGAAGUUUCAUUCCCAAGGAACUGUCAUCAUCGACGUCUCCGGUAGUUCCCUAGAAGACUCCGCUUGCAGAGUCAUCUUUAUAUCCCCUGACUUGGAAUUUACUCCACGUAAAUAUCCUUUUCCCUGGGGAUGUUUAUCAAAAAAAGAAAAAAAAAUUAAAGGCAACUGUUUAACUAUCUGGCUGGGUGCUUUGCGGCUGCCCGAUGCAGUGAGUAACAGUUGGGACAGACAAUUAGCCAGCCAAAAAGCUGAGGAGGAAAAGCUGAGGAAUGAACCUCCAAGGCAGCUUUGAAAAGCCGUGACACCUUCCUGGGGAUCUAGAAGGCCACGUACAUGUGCCUGGGCAGGGCUGGGAGUGUGCUCAGGGCUGUGUGGAUGCUCACACAAGACCUAAGAAGGCCCCAGGCUCUCGCUGCUGGCUGACCUCCAUACGCCGCUGGACCCGGAAGUGAAAGCUAAGGCGGAGCUGUCAACUCCCUGGCUGAGUGGCCAGGGUGAAGAUGAGCCCCUCCUGCACACAGAGCCCUGGGCAAAGACUGGGAGAUGCACUGGCUAUGGAAAUGCAAUGAAAUCUCUCUCCACUCAUUAACUGAUCACUGAGUUAACUGCGCAGACAGUUUCAUGUCUAUACAUGAAAAAGAUGAUUGAUUUUACAGAAUUAAUUCAGAAAAGGGUUUGAACCAAACAGUAACAACAACAAAGCUUGGCAACAAGGUAGAUGCUGAUUUCCCAAGUUACCACCUCACAAUAUUCAAAAUGUCAACUCUUCAACAGAAAAACCUAUGAGGCAUGUGAAGCAAAGAAUGUAUAGGGUAUACACUGGAGAGAAAGAAUUAACAGAGAUUUUUUUCCUGAGACAGCUCAGACACUGGACUUACUAGAUAAAGAGUUUAAAUCACUUAUUUUAAUAUGUUCAAAGAUAUAAAGGAAACUGUGUCUAAAGAACUGAUGGAGAGCAUGAUAAUGUCUCACCAAAUAGAGAACAGCAAUAAAGAGAUGAAAUUAUGAAAAAGAACCAAAAUGCAAUUCUGUAGUUCAAAACUAUAAUAACUACAACAGAAAAUUUACUAGAGGAGCGCCACAUUAGAUUUGAGCAGGUGGAAGAAGCUUGAAGGUGGGUCAAUUAAGAUUAUCCAGUGUAAGGAAUAGGAAGAAAAAAAAGGAAGAAAAAACUGAACAAAGCCUCAGAGAUCUGUGGAGCACCAUCAAAAAUUCCAAUACAUGCUUAAUGGGCAUCUCAGAAUGAGAGGAGACAAAAGGGCAGAAAGAACAUUUGAAGAAAUAAUGGCAAAAAACUUUCCAAAUUUGAUGAAAAACAUUAACCUGCACAUUCAAGAAGGUCAAAUUUAAGGUCUGGUUAGGAUAAACUCAAAGAGGCCCACACCCACAUAUCACAAUCAAACUGUCUAAAACCAAAGAAAAAGAAUCCUUAGAGCAUCAAGAUAAAAGGGACUCAUCAUGUCCUAGACAUCCUUACUAAGACGAAUAGCUCUCAUCAAAAAACCAUGGACGAAUGGGACCUAAUUAAGCUUAAAAGCUUUUGCACAGCAAAGAAAUUCAUCCACACCAUGAAAAGACAACCUACUGAAUGGGAGAAAGUAUCUGCAAGUGAUACGACCAACAACAACAACAAAAAACAGCUCAUACAACUCAACAUCAAAAAAACAAACAACCCAAUUAAGAAAUAGGCAGAAGACUCAGACAUUUUUCAAAAAAAGACACACAGAUGGCCAACAGGCUCAUGAAAGGAUGCUUAACUUCGUUAAUCAUCAGAGAAACGCAUGUUAAAACCACAAUGAGAUAUCACCUCCUACCAGUCAGAAUGGCUACCAUCAAAAAGGAACACAAAUAACAAAUAUUGGAGAGGAUGUGGAGAAAAGGGAACCCUCACACACUGUUGGUGGGAAUGUAAAUUGGUGCAGCCACUGUGGAAACAGUAUGGAGGUUUCUGAAAAAACUAAAAAUAGAACUACCAUAUGACCGAGGAUUUCCACUCCUGGGAAUAUACAUCUAUGUCCAAAGAAGAAAACACUUAUUUGAAAGAAAUUUGCACCCCAAUAUUCAAAGCAGCAUUAUUUACAACUGCCAAGAUGUGGAAGCAAUCUAAGUGUCCAUCAACAAAUAGAACUUUCACUACUUGGCCAUAAAAAAUAAUGAAAACUUGCCAUCUGAAACACAUGGACGGACUUAAAGAAUAUUGUGCCAACUUAAAUAAUUCAGAGAAAGACAAAUACUACAUAUCACUAAAAAAUAAAACAAACUAGUGAGUGUAGCAAAAAGGAAACAGACUCACAGAUACAGAGAACCAACUAGCUGUACCCAGUGGGAGGAGGGAAGGGGGAGGGGCAAGGGAUUAAGAGAAAUAAACGACUAUGUAGAAAAUAAUCUACAAGGAUAUAUUGUACAACACAGGGAAUACAGCCAAUAUUUUAUCAUAAUUAUAAAUGAAAUAUAAUCCUCAAAAAUUGUGACCACUAUAUUGUACACCUGAAAUGUAAAUAAUAUUGUAUAUCAACUAUACCUCAAUUAAAAAAAAAAACAUGGAGGGCAGAAGGCACAAGAAAGACUAUUCCUCAAGAAAAUGAAAGCAAAAUUAAGAUAUGCUCAAAUUUAAAAACAAAACAAAACAAAAAACUUGAGAGAAUUUGUUACCAGCAGAUGGGCCUUACAAGAAACACUAAAAGUAGUCCUUCAGGGAGUUGCCGUCAUGGCACACGGAAACGAAUCCCACUAGGAACCAUGAGGGCGCAGGUUCCAUCCCCGGCCUCGUUUAGUGGGUUAAGGAUUCGGCGUAUAUAAAUAAAUAAAAGUAGUCCUUCAGACUGAAUUGAAAGGAAACUGGCUAUCAACUCAAAUCUACAUAAAGCAAUAAAAAGCAUCAGUAGAGAUAACUGCUUAGGUCAAUAUAAAAACUCAAAUAAAUAUGUUUUGUUUGUAACUCGUUUUUUCUCCUCUCUGCUUUACAAAACAUUUGCCUACAACAGUAAUUAAAAUCUGUUGUUGAGUUUACAGUUGUGUAAAGCGAUCAUUUGUACAGCAAUAACAGCACAUAGAAGGGGGACGUGAAUGAAACUAUUUAGAAGUACAGUUUUUGUAUACUACUGAAGUUAACCGGUAUUAAUCCAAACUAGAUGGUUAUAAGUAAAGUGUUAAUAAGUAACUCCGGAGCAACCCCUAAGGAAUUAAUUUAAAUAUGUACUAAAAUAAAUGACAAAAUAAUUAAAAUAAUACACUAGAGGAUUUCCCAUUGUGGCUCAGUGGGUUAAGAACCCGACUCGAUCCCUGGCCCUGCUCAGUGGGUUAAAAAUCCAGUUUUGCCACGAGCUGGGGUGUAGGUCACAGAUGCGGCUCGGUUCCCGCACUGCUGUGGCUCUGACAUAGGCUGGCAGCUGCAGCUCCGAUUAGACCCCUAGCCUGAGAACUUCCAUAUGCUGCGGGUGUGGCCCCAAAACGACAAAAAAUAAAAGUAAAAAAAACAUACAAAAUAAAAUAAUACAGUAAUACACUAGAAGAUAUCUACCCAAGUCAACUCCAUUCCAGUAAAAUUAAAAAAAAAUCUCAACCUAAAUGUCCAUUGACAAAUGAACGGAUAAAGAAAAUGUGGUGUAUACACACACACACACACACACACACACACACACACGCACACUCACACGACGACGGAAUAUUAGCCAUAAAAAGAAUGAAAUAAUGCCACUGGCAGCAACAUGGAUGGAUCCAGAGAUUAUCAUACUAGGUAAAUCGGCCAGAGGAAGACAAAUAUCACAUGCUACUGCUUAUAUGCAUAUAUGUGGAAUCGAAAAAAAAUUAUACAAAUGAACUUAUUUGCAAAAUAGAAAGCCUCGCAGACAUAGAAAGCUUACAGUUUUCAAAGGGGAAGGGGAGGAGGGGUAAACAAGAAGUACGGGAUCAGCAGAUACAAACCACUACAUAAAUAACGGCUAAUCAACAAGAACCUACUGGAGAGCAAAGGGAACUCAACGUUCUGUAACAACCUACAUGGGAGACGAAUCUGAAAAAAACAGAUGUACGUGCAGUUGAAUCACGGUGCUGUACAGCUGAACAUAUCACACCAUUGUAAAUCGACCCCCCUCCAAUAUAAAGUAAAAAUUUAAAAAUAAAAAAAUAAAACAGACACCCAACCAAGACCUAUUGCAUAGCACAGGGAACCACAUUGAAUAUUUUAGAAUAACCUCUAAUGGAAAAGAAUCUGAAUGUGCCUUGAAAACACUGGCAAGCCGUUUGAAGUAGUCAUUAGCUAAAUAAGUGCUUUUUCAGCAAGGGAUAAUAAUUGCAUUAAUUAUAAUAAUAAUCAGGUUCAUCAUGUUUUGGGUGCUACACCAGUCACUGACCAGCACUGACAGAGAGCAGUGGUCUCUGUCCUUUUUACACGUCCCAGCGCUGGAACACAGCCCUCCAGCCUCACCGGGUUUCCCUAAGUGCCUAUUGACUGUGAGCCCUGGGGCUGGGUGGAAAGUCAUUGGGAGCCAAGUGAUCCAGUCCUUGAGCUUUCGAGCUUCAUUUCAACAGGUCCAUCUGGAGGCAGCAUGACUCACCAUCACCCUUGGUCCUCUGUCACCCAUAGCCCGCAGGUGGUUUUUAAUGGACUUGUUUAAUGCCAAACUGGUGGCGGGGCUGUUAUUUUAAUGGCUCAACUGUGAACGGGCUAAUUUUUGCUCAGGUUCAAUAACUUUUAAAAACUCGAGUAUGUUCAGGGUUAAAAGAAGCUGUGAAUAGCCCUGCCUCGUAGCUCAGAUGUAGUGUAGUAUUAGCUUCCGCUGCAUUUCAUAACCUGCAGGUGACAUUCUGACCCGACUUUGGAAUAAACAGACUUAAAACAGCAUUUCGCAAGACGAAACCAUUCUAUUAUAUCCUAAAUUUUAAGCGCUUUUAACGUUGCCUUUUUUCUCCGCUUGUAACUAUUAGUGCAGACUGAGCAUGGAAAUAAUUGGUGGGGAAGAAUACCAUCCUUUGUUGUUCAUGUUUUUUCCUUUUACUCACUAUUGCGAAAUGUAAUUCUUUCAUAGAUGAUGCUGAAUGGUCUGCGUUAACCUCUCUUAAAGCUCUGUUGAGCGUGACAAAUGGGCGGACGGUUACUUUUCUGUUUGCACUGAGAAGAUAAAACAUUAAUAUAGUAAGUUUGUAUUACAGUCAAGUUCUUCUACAUGAGACCUUUCAUUGUUCAGCUUUGUCGUUCGCUGACACAUGAGCUGCCCGUUUUCCAACCAAGGCUACCUUCUCCCUUCCAGGUGCCGCUGAUGCAGGCACUGUCCAGCCUCUCAGCUGCCUUCUCCACUUGGCUUUUCCAGGAGGUAGAGCUGGUGUCCACGGUGGGACCGCUCACUGCUAACUGAGAACUACUGAGCCGCUGGGUGACCGCCUCAAUCCGGGGAAUACAGGGCUGUCAUUUUCCAACCACGCACUUCUCUCUGGCGUGAGGUCCUUAGGACACCGGAAGGAUUGCAGAUUCACUUCCCGGCUCAGCAACUUGUCAUGGAAAGUUUCCAGCCUGUCCUUUUCAUCUUCAAAGCUUGAAAGCUGU
rnacentral:lncRNA from 1 species